UACGUAGGGAGCAAGCGUUGUCCGGAAUUAUUGGGCGUAAAGCGCGUGUAGGCGGCCAGAUAAGUCCGCUGUGAAAUCUCGAGGCUCAACUUCGAGCUGUCGGUGGAAACUGUCUGGCUAGAGUCCGGUAGGGGAGUGUGGAAUUCCCGGUGUAGCGGUGAAAUGCGCAGAUAUCGGGAGGAACACCGAUGGCGAAGGCAGCACUCUGGGCCGGUACUGACGCUGAGGAGCGAAAGCGUGGGGAGCGAACAGG
rnacentral:rRNA from 1 species